UCUCUCUGGAGCGGGGCGAUUUCUCUUCCUUCUAACCCUAAUGCGGUGCUUAGGCGACAGUUCUCCGGGUGCGCUCGCUGUUUUUCUGGCUAACUUUCAGCGAGCGGAGAGAGCGAAGCCGUGGUUUACGACGAUAGAGGAGAAAAAAUGUUAGCUGGGGAACGUCCCUUUCCCGAGAGCCCGCGCCAUCCUCUUCCUCGGGCCCAUUGGCGAUAGCCCCCGGCCUCCCUCGCUCACCAGGCCGCGGUCAGCCCGGGCCCUGGCUCUGCUAGGGCGUCCAAUGCUGCCGCGAAGAGUUCGUCUCUGAUUGCCUUGAGGUAGCCGGGCUCGAAUAGGUGGGCUCGCGGCGAUGCGCAGGAAAGAGCAAAACAGUGAACUGGGCGUGUGCUGGGGUCGCGUCCCUGAAGUGUGGGAUGUGCGAUCUGUCCGCUUGUUCAGACAUUG
rnacentral:telomerase_RNA from 1 species